GCUCAGAAUGACGCUGCGCGUGAUAGACAUGCAAGUCGAACGGAGAGAUCAUUAGUUACUAAAGGUUUUUCAGUGGCGGACGGGUUAGUAACACGUGAGUAACAUGCCUUAAAGUGGGGGAUAGCCUUUCGAAAGGAAGAUUAAUACCGCAUGUGGCCUUCGGGUCAAAGAUGCCUUCGGGUGUCGCUUUGAGAUUGGCUCGCGGCCUAUCAGCUAGUUGGUGAGGUAACGGCUCACCAAGGCAACGACGGGUAGCUGGUUUGAGAGGACGAUCAGCAACACUGGAACUGAGACACGGUCCAGACACCUACGGGUGGCAGCAGUCGAGAAUCAUUCACAAUGGGGGAAACCCUGAUGGUGCAACGCCGCGUGGAGGAUGAAGGCCCUAGGGUCGUAAACUCCUGUCAUAAUAGAGUAAGGCAUAUUAGAUUAAGAGUUAAAUAUGUUUGAUAGUAUAUUAAGAGGAAGGGACGGCUAACUUCGUGCCAGCAGCCGCGGUAAUACGAAGGUCCCGAGCGUUAUUCGGAAUCACUGGGCGUAAAGAGUACGUAGGCGGUUUGGUAAGUCAGGUGUGAAAUCCCGGAGCUCAACUCCGGAACUGCAUCCGAUACUGCUAGACUUGAGUAAUGGAGAGGCAGGUGGAAUUCUCGGUGUAGCAGUGAAAUGCGUGGAUAUCGAGAGGAAGACCAAUGGCGAAGGCAGCCUGCUGGACAUUUACUGACGCUGAGGUACGAAGGCCAGGGUAGCGAAAGGGAUUAGAUACCCCUGUAGUCCUGGCAGUAAACGGUGCGCGCUUGGUGUAGGAGGACUCGACCCCUUCUGUGCCGGAGCUAACGCGUUAAGCGCGCCGCCUGGGGAGUACGGUCGCAAGACUAAAACUCAAAUGAAUUGACGG
rnacentral:rRNA from 1 species